UACGGGGGGGGCAAGGCGUUGUUCGGAAUUACUGGGCGUAAAGGGUUCGUAGGUGGCCAACUAAGUCAUACGUGAAAUCCCUCAGCUUAACUGGGGAACUGCGUCUGAUACUGGUUGGCUUGAGUGCAGGGAGAGGAACGCGGAAUUCAGGUGUAGCGGUGAAAUGACGUAGAUAUCUGGAGGAACACCGAUUGCGAAGGCAGCUUACUAAGCAAACAUUGACGCUGAGGCACGAAAGCGUGGGGAAUCAAACAGGAGUUAGA
rnacentral:rRNA from 1 species